rnacentral:lncRNA from 1 species
AUCCUGUCUGCUCUCUGGACUAAGAGAAAGAGGUAGAAGAAAGGGCACUGGGAGUUGAAGAAAAAGAAAACAUGGAUGAACUAAAAGGAAAAUAAGAUGUUUCUAGAUGACAACAUUUUUAUUGUACUGUUACUGAAAAGGGGUCCCAAUUUCUUGAAUCUCACGCAAGAAAGAAUUCGGGGCAAGUCCAUAGAGUAAGGUAAAAACAAGUUUAUUAGGAAAGUUAAAGGAAUAAAGAAUGGCUACUCCAUAGGCAGAGCAGCAACCUGGGCUGUUCAACUGCUUACACUUAUUGUUACUUCUUGAUUAUAUGCUAAACAAAGGGUAGAUUAUUCAUGAGUCUUCUGGGAAAGGGGUGAGCAAUUCCUGGAACUGAGAGUUUCUUCCCUUUUUAGACCAUGUAGUGUAACUUCCUGACAUUGCCAUGGCAUUUGUAAACUGUCAUGGUGCUGGUAGGAGUGCCUUUUAGCAUGCUAAGGCAUUAUAAUUGACGUAUAAUGAGCAGUGAGGAUGACCAAAGGUCACCUUCAUCACCAUCUUGGUUUUGGCAGGAUUUGGCUGCUUCUUUACUGCAUGCUGUUUUAUCAGCAAGGUCUUUGUUACCUGUAUCUUGUGCCAACCUCCUGUCUCUUCCUGUGACUACAAAUACCUAACCUCCUGAAAAUGCAGGCCCAGAGGUCUCAGCCUUAUUUUACCCAGCUUCUAUUCAAGAUGGAGUUGCUCUAGUUUGAAUGCCUCUGACAUAUUUCCCCUCUCCCUUUUAUAAGAAAACCCUUAAUCUUGAGUUCUAGAGGGACAAAGCUCCAUCUUCUGUAACUUCUUCAGGGUGAAUAAGGGCAAUGAUAUUCCUGCCUAACAAAUUAGGAUCUCUUGUAUUUGUGGUAGAGAGGCACUCAGUCAGAAAGCAUCAGUGUGGUGAGGGCCAUUCAUAAAUUUGAGUUCCAACAAAAGGUGAUAUCUAGAAGAUUAAUAAGUGUUCAAUUUAAGAAACCAUUCAGUAAGCUUAUCCUGCACUCCUACACAAAGAAUACAACAGCAAUAUAUUCCACAACAGUAAAGCAAAAUAAGUAAAAUUAUCCCAAGUAAACUAAAUAGAAGGCUUUCCAUGAACUGGGCAACUGUUGGAACCAAGCUGAUACAGGGUCGCCAACUGAUUCCAAUAUGUGCCUAGAAUUGGAAUACUUAUCCAGACUUUUUUAUGGUACCCAUCCAUCUCUCUUGUUUCUUCUAAGCUGUAGCCAAAGAUCACUGGUUGGUUCACAGGAAUAAGCAGUCGGUCUAAAUUGCAGAAAAAUAAAAAACUUAAAAACUACUAGAAUCUAAUCACAGGUGUACCAUAGUUCUUGAAACAUAAUUUUUUCACUUUCCAGUCUCCCAUUUUUACUAAAGACAAAUCAUACUAAGACGGGUUUGCUUGCAAAAAUAAGCUUUUUUUGAAAAGAUAAAUCAGGUAGAGAGAAAACAAAUAUACUCCAAAUUUUGUUCACGGGAAUAUACUUUACUCAAUUGUUAAAAGCUGUAAAUAGUUCAAAAGAAAAGUUGCCUUGACUCUGGAAAAACAAAACAAAGGGUUACCAACAUUUUAAGCAAAAGGUUAAAAAAAAAAAAAAA